rnacentral:rRNA from 1 species
UACGGGGGGAGCAAGCGUUGUUCGGAUUUACUGGGCGUAAAGGGCGCGUAGGCGGCCACUGCAAGUCGGUUGUGAAAUCUCCGGGCUUAACCCGGAAAGGUCAAUCGAUACUGCAGGGCUAGAGUGCAGAAGGGGCAACUGGAAUUCUCGGUGUAGCGGUGAAAUGCGUAGAUAUCGAGAGGAACACCUGCGGCGAAGGCGGGUUGCUGGGCUGACACUGACGCUGACAGCGCGAAAGCUAGGGGAGCGAACGGG